rnacentral:rRNA from 1 species
GGGUCAGUAGGUUGGUCGUGCCACCGGUACGUACUGGUCUCACUGAUUCCUCCUCCCUGAAGAACCGUAAUGCCAUUAAUUUGGUGUUGCGGGGAAACAGAACUGUUACUUUGAAAAAAUUAGAGUGUUUAAAGCAAGCUAACGCUUGAAUACAUUAGCAUGGAAUAAUGAAAUAGGACGAUCGAUCCUAUUUUGUUGGUUUCUAGGAUUGACGUA